rnacentral:rRNA from 1 species
UACGUAGGGUGCGAGCGUUGUCCGGAAUUAUUGGGCGUAAAGAGCUUGUAGGCGGUUUGUCGCGUCUGCCGUGAAAGCCCCAGGGCUUAACCCUGGGUCUGCGGUGGGUACGGGCAGACUAGAGUGUGGUAGGGGAGACUGGAAUUCCUGGUGUAGCGGUGAAAUGCGCAGAUAUCAGGAGGAACACCGAUGGCGAAGGCAGGUCUCUGGGCCACUACUGACGCUGAGAAGCGAAAGCAUGGGGAGCAAACAGG